rnacentral:rRNA from 1 species
UACAGAGGUCUCAAGCGUUGUUCGGAUUCACUGGGUUUAAAGGGUGCGUAGGUGGGCAGGUAAGUCAGUGGUGAAAUCUCCGGGCUUAACUCGGAAACUGCCAUUGAUACUAUCUGUCUUGAAUACCGUGGAGGUUAGCGGAAUAUGUCAUGUAGCGGUGAAAUGCUUAGAUAUGACAUAGAACACCAAUUGCGAAGGCAGCUGGCUACACGAAUAUUGACACUGAUGCACGAAAGCGUGGGGAUCAAACAGG